rnacentral:rRNA from 1 species
AACGAACGCUGGCGGCAUGCCUAACACAUGCAAGUCGAACGAGACCUUCGGGUCUAGUGGCGCACGGGUGCGUAACGCGUGGGAACCUGCCCUUAGGUUCGGAAUAACUCCCCGAAAGGGGUGCUAAUACCGAAUAAUGUCUUCGGACCAAAGAUUUAUCGCCUUUGGAUGGGCCCGCGUAGGAUUAGCUAGUUGGUGGGGUAAAGGCCUACCAAGGCGACGAUCCUUAGCUGGUCUGAGAGGAUGAUCAGCCACACUGGGACUGAGACACGGCCCAGACUCCUACGGGAGGCAGCAGUGGGGAAUAUUGGACAAUGGGCGAAAGCCUGAUCCAGCAAUGCCGCGUGAGUGAUGAAGGCCUUAGGGUUGUAAAGCUCCUUUACCAGGGAUGAUAAUGACAGUACCUGGAGAAUAAGCUCCGGCUAACUCCGUGCCAGCAGCCGCGGUAACAC